UAUAAUUUACUUGAUCCUGAUUAUCCUACUUGGAUAACUGUGGUAAUUCUAGAGCUAAUACAUGCACCGAAGCUCCGACUCACGGACGAGCGCAUUUAUUAGAACAAAACCAAUCGGGUCUCGGCCCGCUCUUUGGUGACUCUGAAUAACUAAGCUGAUCGCAUGGUCUUGCACCGGCGACGUGUCUUUCAAGUAUCUGCCUUAUCAACUUUCGAUGGUAGUUUAUGUGACUACCAUGGUUGUAACGGGUAACGGAGAAUAAGGGUUCGACUCCGGAGAGGGAGCCUGAGAAACGGCUACCACAUCCAAGGAAGGCAGCAGGCGCGCAAAUUACCCACUCUCGGCGCGAGGAGGUAGUGACGAAAAAUAACGAGACCGUUCUCUAUGAGGCCGGUUAUCGGAAUGGGUACAAUUUAAACCCUUUAACGAGGAUCUAUGAGAGGGCAAGUCUGGUGCCAGCAGCCGCGGUAAUUCCAGCUCUCAAAGUGUAUAUAGUCAUUGCUGCGGUUAAAAAGCUCGUAGUUGGAUCUGCGCCUCAGGACUCGGUCCGCCCAUUGGGCGUGAACUGGGCUCCUAGGCUAGAACUGCUGGUUUUCCCUUCGUGGCCUUCACCGGUUGCGUUGGGUGGCUAGCGAGUUUACUUUGAAAAAAUUAGAGUGCUCAAAACAGGCUCUGCCUGAAUAUUCGUGCAUGGAAUAAUGGAAUAGGACUUCGGUUCUAUUUUGUUGGUUUUCUGAACGGAGGUAAUGGUUAAGAGGGACAGACGGGGGCAUUCGUAUCGCUGCGUGAGAGGUGAAAUUCUUGGACCGCAGCGAGACGCCCUACUGCGAAAGCAUUUGCCAAGAAUGUCUUCAUUAAUCAAGAACGAAAGUCAGAGGUUCGAA
rnacentral:rRNA from 2 species